CGGGGCGUGGCGCAGUCCGGUAGCGCGUUUGCUUCGGGAGCAAGAGGUCGCUGGUUCGAAUCCAGUCGCCCCGACCA
rnacentral:tRNA from 1 species